AUUGAACGCUGGCGGAAUGCUUUACACAUGCAAGUCGAGCGGCAGCGCGGGGGCAACCCUGGCGGCGAGCGGCGAACGGGUGAGUAACAUAUCGGAACGUACCCAGUCGUGGGGGAUAACUAUCCGAAAGGAUAGCUAAUACCGCAUACGUCCUGAGGGAGAAAGCGGGGGAGUCGCAAGACCUCGCGCGAUUGGAGCGGCCGAUAUCGGAUUAGCUAGUUGGUGGGGUAAAGGCUCACCAAGGCGACGAUCCGUAGCGGGUCUGAGAGGACGACCCGCCACACUGGAACUGAGACACGGUCCAGACUCCUACGGGAGGCAGCAGUGGGGAA
rnacentral:rRNA from 1 species